GUUCACUACAAGGAACUGGAGAAAACAGGAUGUUUGCUUCUCUCCCAGGCCUGUGCUCUACCAGUCUGACCUGCUUAUCCUCCUUUCCCUUUCUGCUAUUCAGGAACCAGGGCUGCAGAGCUCUACAGCCACAGGAAGCACUGCUGGGGAGGAGAACUGCUUCCCUGGCCCCUGCAGCUUGGACAGCAGCAUGAGGCAAUCAGGAGGUAAUCAAGGAGAAAGGAAAUAAUCUUUCUGGCCCCCACCAGCAACUGCUUACAGCGGGAAGCAACAGUGGGAAGCCAUUAAUAUAUAGUUAUUGAUGUUGUUAUCAAAAUGUAUUACUAAGAGAAAGGCUAAAAGCUGUCCACUGAUCUUUUUAUGAUCACUCUGCGACAAAAAAGCUUCCAAAGCAUCCAGAGAACACUGACCUCCCUGCUUACCUUGACACAUAAUUUUUCCCACUGUCUUUGGGCACAGGAAGCCCCAAGUGAAAACCCCCAGGUACACAGAGGCAGGAGUGCUGAAGGAAUGUUGGAAGGGUGGAUGGACUGAUGCUGUCCUCUGAUGGAUUCACUGUCCGGGUUCAUGUGUUUAUAUGAAACCUGCAAUGCUGUUCAUAGCCCUCAUAGCAGUGGAACUGGUGAGAGAGCAGCUCUGGGACAAGCACUUCCAGUUCACUAAAUCUUUGCCUUCCUUUGCUUUGCCAAGUUGCACAAAGUCAUUGGUUCAAGGUCAAUUUCUGUGUGCUUCUUAAAGUGUCCCCAAACCAGCUCUGACACUGCCUCAAUCAGAUCUUUCUUACAGGGCAGCACCACAGUGUGAUGAAGGAAG